GCAUCAUCAAAAAGAAGUCAGUCAUUCUAGCCUGGAGCUUUAGAAGACGAAGUAAAAAGGAGCGAGUCCAGCGGAUUCGUGGAAAUGGAUGGAGACUGCUGAGUUGAGAGACUGAGAAGUGGAGGUACCUAGGAAGGUCCUCCCUGAAAAUACAUCGGGUUGUAAAACCUGGAAAGAAAUACCUCCAUUUGUCAGGCACUCACAGGGCGCUCUCCUCCGGCAGCUGCCAUGUUGAGCGCCCAGGGCAGCGACCAGACCGCGUCUUGUCCUCCUGCACGGGGCCAGCACUGGAUGGUCCCGCGACACAUCGUGUCUGCAGCUUUAGAGGCCUCCCCAGGAGUGCUACCGCGGUCAUUUCUGCCCAGCAGUAAAAUAACACCCAAUCAGCGAGCCGCCAGCUGCAAACUGUUCCGACCUACUCCUCCCUCCCCGGCUUAAUUCCCACCUAUACCAAAGUGGCCCCACGCGGGCAGAAGCGAAAGACGGAAAUGAGGGGAGGCCAACUACUCGAGAUCUGCGCCCGAAGCAGAUUUUCCACGCGCUCAGAGCAGGGUCGGGGAAAGGCCCACUUGGGGCUUCUGAGAGAGAGGGAAGGGCAGGGAAAGGGCUGCCCCCAAGCAAGACACAGUUGGGUUAACAACUGAGUCUUUGCCUCGUUGACAAAGGAUAAUGAGGGACUCGCGCCAGGCUGGCUUGAACUGACUAGAGAAAAGCGACUUCUGUAAAUCAGGGCCCUCCGCGUGCGAAGGAAACUUUGGCAAAGCAGAAAGGCAUGCAGUCUCCAGGCGGAAAAACGUGAACCAUGGGACAUGAUGGGCUCCAGGGCCGUGGAUGCAGUUGCCCGAGGCCCCAGGGCCGCCCCCGGAAGGCCGGGACUGCCAGGGACGCGGCGUGGGGGUGCUGACUGCCGCUCCAGGCCUCGGGGUUCACGCGCUCCAGCAGCAUCCGCUCACCCCGCUCCCCGCCCACUUCCAUGAUCACGAGGGGGCAAGGCUAGCCAAUCCGGGGUGGCCACCGCCCGGCCCUGCGAGGACUCGAGGAGCACUGGGAAACUGCGCGGUGCCUAGAGGUACAAAGAACAGGUCCUGGGAGGGUAGUAGGAGGGGACUCAGCACAGCCUAUGUCAGUUUGUCAACAAGGAUUUGCUGAGAAGUCGCACUGUGCUCAGCAUAGCGGCACUGCCUACCUAAUGGGCUUUGGGGCAUAGACAGUGAAUAACCUGGCAGUGAUAAUAGUGUGCUGAAAGAAAGGCCAGCCCCAACAGCCACUACAGGAACCUCAGAAAGGAGGGGGCGUCCCUGUUAGUGGCUGAUACUGGAUUUCUCAUUGUGUUCGUGGCUGGCGCCAAGCCAGAGAUCAUAAUGUAGAACAAAUAAAUGUGAAGUUUCUUACAUCCAAGUGGCCAGGGAAAACCUAUACUAAUUACAUGGUACAAACCCGCUGUGAUCAUGUGCUAAAUUGGGUGGCAGUCAGAGUACAGCUGUCGAGAUAUCUCUGAUGUAGCAGGUGCUCUGAAGAGCAUGGGACAGAAGAGAGCACAGGCAGCUGGAGUGUAGAGAUGGGGGCUAAUUGCAGAAUCCCACAGUGCCUAGGAAGGUCUCAGCUGUCAGGGUCUUCUCCUGAGACUCAUUCUCAGCUCCUUUUGGGGUUUAGGAAAGGUCUUUCAUGAGAGUUCCAAACAUUUUAGUUACUGUUUAAUUCCUUCUCACUGAAUCCCCAUGGAAGGGGGCAAAAAGCAAGUGCUACUCCUCCGAGGUACUAAAACCCUGGUGCUGAGGAUGAGGCUGCUCCAGAGGG
rnacentral:lncRNA from 1 species